CUUGAACGCUGGCGGCAGGCAUAACACAUGCAAGUCGAGCGGAGCGGCGGCCGGGUGAGUAAUUCCUAGGAAUCUCCCUGGUAGCGGGGGAUAACGUCCCGAAACGGGCGCUAAUACCGCAUACUAUCAGACGAGCCUAGGUCGGAUUAGCUAGUGGGUGGGGUAAAGGCCUACCAAGGCGCCGAUCCGUAACUGGUCUGAGAGGAUGAUCAGUCAGACUGGAACUGAGACACGGUCGAGACUCGUACGGGAGGCAGAGGUGGGGAAUAUUGGUCAAGGGGCGAAAGCCGGAUCCAGCCAUGCCGCGUGUGGGAAGAAGGUCUUUGGAUUGUAAAGCACUUUAAGUUGGAAGGCGUUUCCAACAGAAUAUGCACCCAGUAACUACGUGCCAGCAGCCGCGGUAAUUC
rnacentral:rRNA from 1 species